UGGGGAAUUUUGGACAAUGGGGGCAACCCUGAUCCAGCAAUGCCGCGUGUGUGAAGAAGGCCUUCGGGUUGUAAAGCACUUUUGUCCGGAAAGAAAUCCCUUGCUCUAAUACAGCGGGGGGAUGACGGUACCGGAAGAAUAAGCACCGGCUAACUACGUGCCAGCAGCCGCGGUAAUACGUAGGGUGCGAGCGUUAAUCGGAAUUACUGGGCGUAAAGCGUGCGCAGGCGGUUUUGUAAGACAGGCGUGAAAUCCCCGAGCUCAACUUGGGAAUGGCGCUUGUGACUGCAAGGCUAGAGUAUGUCAGAGGGGGGUAGAAUUCCACGUGUAGCAGUGAAAUGCGUAGAGAUGUGGAGGAAUACCGAUGGCGAAGGCAGCCCCCUGGGACGUCACUGACGCUCAUGCACGAAAGCGUGGGGAGCAAACAGG
rnacentral:rRNA from 1 species